UCCAGACUCCUACGGGAGGCAGCAGUGAGGAAUAUUGGUCAAUGGGCGGGAGCCUGAACCAGCCAAGUCGCGUGAGGGAAGACGGUCCUAUGGAUUGUAAACCUCUUUAGGCGGGGAGCAAUGCCGGGCACGCGUGUCCGGAGGGAGAGUACCCGCAGAAUAAGCAUCGGCUAACUCCGUGCCAGCAGCCGCGGUAAUACGGAGGAUGCGAGCGUUAUCCGGAUUUACUGGGUGUAAAGGGAGCGUAGACGGCAGCACAAGUCUGAAGUGAAAUGCCGGGGCUUAACCCCGGAACUGCUUUGGAAACUGUGCAGCUAGAGUGCAGGAGAGGGAAGUGGAAUUCCUAGUGUAGCGGUGAAAUGCGUAGAUAUUAGGAGGAACACCAGUGGCGAAGGCGGCUUACUGGACGGUAACUGACGUUGAGGCUCGAAAGCGUGGGGAGCAAACAGGAUUAGAUACCCGCGUAUGA
rnacentral:rRNA from 1 species